UGAAGUCUUAUUUGGUUUCCCUUAUCGUGAUGAGAAAGCUAUUUAAAUAGUUUUGGAUAGCUUUGUUUUUUGCUCUGUCUCUUAUGUUUUUUUUUUGUUUGGUUGAAAUUAAGAGUUAGAUUGUGGAAUUGGUAUGAUGUGGUCUGUGUUAGGCUUAAAGAGUGGAAAGCUAGAAUUUUUUGGGUUGGAUCUGGUUGCUGCAAUUAGGUUAUGUUGCUUGUUGAUUGGAACUUGGUCUCUGUUAAUGUUCAAAAUUAGGUUUUCUGGUUUUUGUUACUUGAGAUUAUGUCCAAAAUCCCGAUCUGCUCAUGUAUAUGUUUUAUAGAUGGUGCUGCCCUUCUACUCUGACUUCUUAUCAAAGCUAGAUAGAAGUCCUUUACGAUUUUCUGGAUUUCUGUAUAGUGUUGCUUAGAGCUGAUUUGUGUAAGUUGCUCUGAUAACCAAGGAAGAAAGGUUAUAGGGAAAUCCACUCUCACUGAUUCCUUGGUCGCUGCUGCUGGUAUCAUUGCCCAAUAGGGAAAUAGCUCCGAUACUGCUCCUUGUGGUAGGGAAGAGAUCGAUGAUAUUGCUCUCUUCGCUCUUUAAGAACACAACAAACGAGAGAAUGAUGUUGUUGAGCUUGCUAGAGUGUUAAAGGCAACAGAGCAGGUGAUUGCUGGUAAGCUCUAACAUCUUUUACGAUUAGGUCGCACAUUUUAUUGGAUUAGCAUUGGGUAUUGCGUACUAUGCCCAAUGCUUUGACUGCUAUUUUGCCUAAGCUGAGGGACAGACCCAUGUAUCAAGGCCAGGACAAGCUUCCCCUUAUUGUUUGGAUGAUGGCUCAGGUCCUUGUUCAGCGGAGACAAGUUCUGCAACGGUCCUUGUUCAGCGGAGACAAGUUCUGCAAUGGGAUCAUCUGCCGUGAUACCUGCUACACAUUUCCUUUGCCUUUACUGGGAUGGGAUCACUCUAACGUGUUCAUCGCCCUCGGUUACGAGAUUGCCACGGGCUGUCGUAUGCUUUGUAGUUUUUGGUGCUCUUGCUCAUUGUCCACUCUGUUUGACAAGCAUCGAUAUCGCAAGCAAUGUUUAGGCUCUGUCUUGUAUUAAAAAAAAAAACACUUAUAUGCCAUUCUUUAGUAGAUAAAGAUUCUGUGUGAUCCUUUCUCUAAAACUGAGGUUUCUGACCUACACGAAAAACCAACAUACCAUUAUCAAGGAUUCUACAUUUCUACGUGUAA